UUUAGACUGUUACAUGUUAGUAAGUAGUAGUAUAAACUCGAUAAAUGAUCAGCCCCUAUGCCUUGAUUGUAAUAAGACACUAAUCUUAUGGAGCCGUAAGUUAUUUAGAUGAAAUAAUUUUGUACAGAGAAAUAAAAGGAUAUAAA